UACGUAGGGGGCAAGCGUUGUCCGGAUUUAUUGGGCGUAAAGAGCGUGUAGGCGGCCAAACAGGUCAGCUGUGAAAACUCGAGGCUCAACCUCGAGACGUCGGUUGAAACCGUUUGGCUAGAGUCCGGAAGAGGAGAGUGGAAUUCCCGGUGUAGCGGUGAAAUGCGCAGAUAUCGGGAAGAGCACCCGUGGCGAAGGCGGCUCUCUGGGACGGUACUGACGCUGAGGAGCGAAAGCGUGGGGAGCGAACAGG
rnacentral:rRNA from 1 species